rnacentral:sRNA from 1 species
GACACCGGCCUGCUGGGAACGGUGUGGAGCCAGGAAGGCCCGCGGUGGGGAUGGGCAUGGCUCACGCACCCCGGCUUGCUUUCCAGCACCUGGCUGAGCACGCGGACGCUGCGCAGCUGGUGUCUGGCUUCGAGGCCACCAUCAACAAGUUUGACAAGAACUUCUCAGCCCACCUGCUGGACCUCCUGGCGCGGCUGAGCAUCUAUAGCACCAGUGACUGUGAGCACGGCAUGGCCAGCGUCAUCUCCAGGCUUGACUUCAAUGGUUUCUACACGGAGCGCCUGGAGCGCCUGUCUGCAGAGAGGAGCCAGAAGGCCGCCCCCCAAGUGCCUGUCCUGCGGGGGCCCCCGGCUCCUGCACCCAGGGUCGCAGUCACUGCACAGUGAGCCCUGGCUGCGACAGGAAGUAAGGGUGUGGGGUCAGCAGGGACUGGUGCAAAUGGGUCCAGAAUUUUCAAAUCGAAUGCUCUGUGUUCUGUCUUUGCAGUUUAAAUAUAAAGCAGGAAUGACCGC